GAGGAAGUGGGGGGAGAGUUCGGCUAGAUUCAGGUUCUAGUGCCUUAACGGGCGUGGAGGUUCGAGUCCUCUCAUCCGCACCA
rnacentral:tRNA from 1 species